CAAUAGCGUAUAUUAAAGUUGUUGCAGUUAAAAAGCUCGUAGUUGGAUUUCUGGUGGGAGCGAUCGGUCUGGCGCUUAGCGCGAGUACUUGCAUCGUCUUCGGCCAUCCUUGGGGAGAGUCUGUCUGGCAUUAGGUUGUCGGGCAGAGGAUCCUCAUCGUUUACUGUGAAAAAAUUAGAGUGUUCAAAGCAGGCUUAUGCCGUUGAAUAUAUUAGCAUGGAAUAAUAAGAUAGGACUUUGGUACUAUUUUGUUGGUUUGCGCACCAAAGUAAUGAUUAAUAGGGACAGUUGGGGGUAUUCGUAUUCCGUUGUCAGAGGUGAAAUUCCUGGAUUUACGGAAGACGAACUACUGCGAAAGCAUUUACCAAGGAUGUUUUCAUUAA
rnacentral:rRNA from 1 species